AGAGUUUGAUCAUGGCUCAGGACGAACGCUGGCGGCACGCUUAACACAUGCAAGUCGAACGAGAGAAGAGGAGCUUGCUUUUCUGAUCUAGUGGCGGACGGGUGAGUAACACGUGAGCAAUCUGCCUUUCAGAGGGGGAUACCGAUUGGAAACGAUCGUUAAUACCGCAUAACAUAAUUGAACCGCAUGAUUUGAUUAUCAAAGAUUUAUCGCUGAAAGAUGAGCUCGCGUCUGAUUAGCUAGUUGGUAAGGUAACGGCUUACCAAGGCGACGAUCAGUAGCCGGACUGAGAGGUUGAUCGGCCACAUUGGGACUGAGACACGGCCCAGACUCCUACGGGAGGCAGCAGUGGGGAAUAUUGCACAAUGGAGGAAACUCUGUUGCAGCGAUGCCGCGUGAGGGAAGAAGGUUUUAGGAUUGUAAACCUCUGUCUUCAGGGACGAAAAAAGACGGUACCUGAGGAGGAAGCUCCGGCUAACUACGUGCCAGCAGCCGCGGUAAUACGUAGGGAGCGAGCGUUGUCCGGAAUUACUGGGUGUAAAGAGAGCGUGGGCGGGAUCGCAAGUCAGAUGUGAAAACUAUGGGCUUAACCCAUAAACUGCAUUUGAAACUGUGGUUCUUGAGUGAAGUAGAGGUAAGCGGAAUUCCUAGUGUAGCGGUGAAAUGCGUAGAUAUUAGGAGGAACAUCAGUGGCGAAGGCGGCUUACUGGGCUUUAACUGACGCUGAGGCUCGAAAGCGUGGGGAGCAAACAGGAUUAGAUACCCUGGUAGUCCACGCCGUAAACGAUGAUUACUAGGUGUGGGGGGACUGACCCCUUCCGUGCCGCAGCAAACGCAAUAAGUAAUCCACCUGGGGAGUACGACCGCAAGGUUGAAACUCAAAGGAAUUGACGGGGGCCCGCACAAGCAGUGGAGUAUGUGGAUUAAUUCGAAGCAACGCGAAGAACCUUACCAGGUCUUGACAUCGUAUGCAUAGCUCAGAGAUGAGUGAAAUCUCUUCGGAGACAUAUAGACAGGUGGUGCAUGGUUGUCGUCAGCUCGUGUCGUGAGAUGUUGGGUUAAGUCCCGCAACGAGCGCAACCCUUACUGUUAGUUGCUACGCAAGAGCACUCUAGCAGGACUGCCGUUGACAAAACGGAGGAAGGUGGGGAUGACGUCAAAUCAUCAUGCCCCUUAUGACCUGGGCCUCACACGUACUACAAUGGCUGUCAACAGAGGGAAGCAAAGCCGCGAGGUGGAGCGAACCCCUAAAAGCAGUCUUAGUUCGGAUUGUAGGCUGCAACCCGCCUACAUGAAGUCGGAAUUGCUAGUAAUCGCAGAUCAGCAUGCUGCGGUGAAUACGUUCCCGGGCCUUGUACACACCGCCCGUCACGCCAUGGGAGUCGGUAACACCCGAAGCCUGUAGUCUAACCGCAAGGAGGACGCAGUCGAAGGUGGGAUUGAUGACUGGGGUGAAGUCGUAACAAGGUA
rnacentral:rRNA from 1 species